rnacentral:rRNA from 1 species
UAUUGGUCAAUGGGCGGGAGCCUGAACCAGCCAAGUCGCGUGAGGGAUUAAGGCCCUACGGGUCGUAAACCUCUUUUGCCGGGGAGCAGGGCGGCGGACGUGUCCGCCGUUUGAGAGUACCCGGAGAAAAAGCAUCCGCUAACUCCGUGCCAGCCGCCGCGGUAAUACGGGGGAUGCAAGCGUUAUCCGGAUUUAUUGGGUUUAAAGGAUGCGUAGGCUGUGAGGUAAGUCAGCGGUGAAAUGCCCCCGCUCAACGGGGUGAAGUGCCAUUGAUACUGCCUUGCUGGAAUGCGGAUGCCGUGGGAGGAAUGUGUGGUGUAGCGGUGAAAUGCAUAGAUAUCACACAGAACACCGAUUGCGAAGGCAUCUCACGAAUCCGCGAUUGACGCUGAUGCACGAAAGCGUGGGUAUCAAACAGG